rnacentral:rRNA from 1 species
GGUGAACGCUAGCGGUGCGCCUAACACAUGCAAGUCGAACGCGAUCUACCAUGAACUUUGAAGAGCUUGCUCGGGUGAGGAACUGGAUUCUAGAUCGAGUGGCGAACGGGUGAGUAACACGUUGGUAUCUGCCCCCAAGUCAGGGAUAGCCAGGAGAAAUCCUGAUUAAUACCGGAUAGUCUCUUCGGAGUAAAGAUUUAUCGCUUGGGGAGGAGCCUGCGUUCUAUCAGCUUGUUGGUAGUGUAAUAGACUACCAAGGCUAUGACGGAUAGCUGGUCUGAGAGGAUGACCAGUCACAAUGGAACUGAGACACGGUCCAU